rnacentral:tRNA from 1 species
UAGCUCAGUUGGUAGAGAACCUGCCUGCAAAGCAGGAGACCCAGGUUCAAUCGCUGG